GGCCGAGCGGGUCCGUCGGGAAAUCCGCGUGCUCAACGCGCGGGCGUCCGGCGGAAACCACUCGGCUUGGGGCCGGAGGACUCGAGGGGUACGUCCGGGGUAGGAGUGAAAUCCCGUAAUCCUGGACGGACCGCCGAUGGCGAAAGCACCUCGAGAGGACGGACCCGACGGUGAGGGACGAAAGCCAGGGUCUCGAACCGGAUUAGAUACCCGGGUAGUCCUGGCCGUAAACGAUGUUCGCUAGGUGUGGCGUCGACUACGAGUCGGCGCUGUGCCGCAGGGAAGCCGCUAAGCGAACCGCCUGGGAAGUACGUCCGCAAGGAUGAAACUUAAAGGAAUUGGCGGGGGAGCACUACAACCGGAGGAGCCUGCGGUUUAAUUGGACUCAACGCCGGAAAUCUUACCAGCUCCGACAGUAGCGAUGACGCUCAGUGUGAUGAGCUUGGUUGAGCUACUGAGAGGAGGUGCAUGGCCGCCGUCAGCUCGUACCGUGAGGCGUCCUGUUAAGUCAGGCAACGAGCGAGACCCGCACUCUUAAUUGCCAGCGACACCGCGAGGUGGUCGGGUACAUUAGGAGGACUGCCGUCGCCAAGACGGAGGAAGGAACGGGCAACGGUAGGUCAGUAUGCCCCGAAUGAGCUGGGCUACACGCGGGCUACAAUGGUCGAGACAAUGGGUUCCAACCUCGAGAGAGGACGGUAAUCUCCUAAACUCGGUCGUAGUUCGGAUUGAGGGUUGAAACUCACCCUCAUGAAGCUGGAUU
rnacentral:rRNA from 1 species